ACCAAAAAAAAAAAAAAAUCAGUGGUUGAGAUUGUUAAUUCAUUCAACCAAUGGUUUGUUCUGAGCUGAAAAUCCUGGUAAAUAAUAGUGGCAUGCCUGCUGUAGCAGUACUCGUAGACCGCUGAUGGCAGCCAGCUAUAAAUGCACACAUGAGUAUAAAAUAGGAAGUAGGGUGUGAUUUUCCUACGGUAGACAGGGGGACGUCUCUAAGAAGGUGACAAAUUGAGUAAAAGUCUAAGGGAGGUGAGGGAAGAAGCCACAUGGAUAUCUGCAGAAGUGGUCCUGGCCAGAGUGACAGCUGGUGUGAAGGCCCCGAGCCUUGCGUGUUCACCAGUGCGGAUGCCCACCUGGUGGACCCAGGUGAGUGAGAGGGUGGGGCCUCGCCUUGGGGCCACGGGAGCAGAGUAGGAACGCGUGUGGGGUCUAAGUGGGGAUGGGAGCCUGGAAGCCUAUCCGCUCUGGCCUGAGUCUAGGCAGUGAAGCGUGAGAAGCGCUGCAAUGGUGAGGACUUGAGAGGUUUGAGAUCUGGCCUGAUGCAGGGAACAGACCAAGAGGAGCUGCCCCAGGGAGCCCUUUACUGCAGAGGGACAGUUGUUAGGAGUAGGUUCUAUUUGUCUCUCCAGGCCAACGAGGGCGUGCCCAUCUCUAUGGGGGACAGCAUCUUCGUGGGAGGUAAGGGCUUGGGGCUGCUGCGGGUGGGCCAAGACCCUUCUCUCCAAACCUGCUGGCAGUGAAGGGUAUCCUCGUGCGUUCCAGAUGCAGCAGGCCGCCCAGCCAACUGGGCCCCUGGCCGUAAGAAGAAAGACUUUUCCUGCGCUGACCGAUUGGUGAGCAGGUGACCGAUUGGGGAUCGGUCACCAAUGGUGAGCCCCGCACCCCGCCCUCGAUCUCUGCCUCACCUCUGCCUUUGCCCCAGUUUGCGCUCAACCUUGGCCUGCCCUUCGCCACCCCGGAGGAGUUCUUCCUUAAGCAGCCCACAGCAGCCUUUGUCCUCCCAGCAUUUGACCCGGUGAGGCCCGAGGGGUGGAAGGCAGGGAACAAGCAGGGGAAUGAGGGUCUCAACUUCUUGUUCCACCCCUCCUAGAGGACUGUCUCCUGCUCAGGGCCUCUCUGCCUCCCAGAGUCCAGCUCCCUCCUGAGCUCUGACCCAGAGGUGGUUGUCGCCGUGGGAUUCCCUGGGGGUGAGAUAUCCUGAUCCCCAUCUCUGGGUGCUGUAAGUGUCCUUCUGGGUCCUGGGUAUCCACUGAUAGUGAUUUUGUGCCUCUCAGCUGGGAAGUCCACCUUCCUCAAGAAACAUCUCGUGUCAGCUGGGUACGUCCACGUGAACAGGGUAAGAGGCUGCCGCGCCCCAUCCCACUGGUUCAUUCCCUGGCUGCCCCAACCGGGCCUUCAGGGCUGCCGCCCAGCACCCCUGCCUCCCCCUGCAGUUCUGAUUUGUUGCCCUGCCCCCACCAGGACACCCCUUCAUCUUCUAUUCCCUAUUGGGCAAUUCCUGCUUGUGACCUGCUCUCCUCUGUCCCCAGGAUACAAUAGGCUCCUGGCAGCGCUGUGUGAGCACCUGUGAGGCAGCUCUGAAGCAGAGGAAACGCGUGGUGAUCGACAACACAAAUCCAGACAUCCCAACCAGGGCCAGGUACUUGGCCCCAUGGGAGGUCUCUAGUAGGGCUGGCAAGGGCCUGGUGACAGCGCUUUCCUGGCCUCAACAGGUAUGUCCAGUGUGCCAGGGAUGCAGGUGUUCCCUGCCGUUGUUUCCUCUUCACUGCCACAUUGGAGCAGGCUCGCCACAACAACCGGGUGAGCCCCUGCCCUCCCCCUCCCUCCUGCCCUGCCCUGCCCCUCCCUCCCCGAUGGCCUCACUCUGAACCAUCCCCUAACAGUUCCGGGAGAUGACUGGCUCCUCUCACACACCAGUGUCAGAUGUCGUCAUAUUCGGCUACAGGUACCUCUAGUUAGUAGGCUGUGGGCUGGUAGGGCCUGGCCUCUCCUUACCACCUUCUCUGCCACCAGGAAACAGUUCGAAGCUCCUACGGUGGCGGAAGGCUUCUCUGCAAUCCUGGAGAUCCCAUUCCAGCUGCAGCUAGAGCCGCAACUAGAGCGACUCUACCGGCAGUUCUCUGAGGGCUGAGUUGCCCAGCCCCAUGCUCCCCUCCCUGACCUGGCAAUAAAUGCUAUUUUUCUCCAAGCUUGGCCAGCAUUUUGCUGGGAGGAAGGGUGGUCGUCUUGGAGGUGCGUCACCAGGCCUAGGCCAACCCCACGCCCCCACACACACACGCGCGCGCGCGCACACUUUUCUACAUUUUCAGGUUAACAGAAAAGGAGGGACCUGGACUGGCUCAGGCUGCUCCUCUGCACAUCUCAUGUUCUACACCAAACCACUCCACCCACCUUGGGCUGUGGAAAGGUGUCACUAGGAGGUUGUCAUGAGCAGGUCAAACAAGAGACUGAGAUGAGACAUGGGAAUGUAGGACAUUGAAUGGGCCCCUAUAAGCUAGCCAGAGCUUGGCUCAAGAUGGCCCAUGAGGGCACAGUGAUUGCAAGCUUGCCUAAUCAUGUGUGAGGCCCUGCAUUCAACUCCCAGUACUGCAUGAGGACAAAAUAUCCAGGGCUCAGGUUCUAUUGCAUUGGACUUGAACGCAGGGGAUGUGGGUCUUGGACCUGCCUAUGGAUCCCCCCUCCAGCUACAGGAGGCAAAAACGCCCCUGACCUAUGCUUUCUUACAGGUAAGUCCAGGGGAAAGAAACCAUGAGCACUACCUGCAAGGUCCUGGCACCAGGUACUGGAAACAGAGAACCAACACACGGCUUCAUGCUUCUGACACAAAGGCCCCAGGAGGUGAGGCCACC
rnacentral:lncRNA from 1 species